ACAAAGGCUUGGAAGUGAAAGAAAGAAAAACGUGGUUUUGAAGUCGAGACCCGCACGGCCUGUGCGGGAAGAUGAUGAAUCAGAUGCAUGAACCUGGUAGUUGACCUUGACCGAAGUAAUUCGCACGUACCUGCCUCGUCUCGUACGAGUCAAGAUGACUUUCGAAACAAAAACCUCAUCCCGUCACAGACGUAUUUCAAUGCCUCCACGGAACAUUAUCGGAUUUCAUCCAAAAGAAGUUAUCGAUCCGAAUCACCUGAGAAGACUGAGAUCAAAAGCCUAGCGGCUAAUCCAGUAGCCGAAUACUUAGCACGAUUUCCCCCACCUCGUGUAAUCCUCUUGAUGACUCAUGGCGCUUUUGUGAUGACGAUCUUUCACAUACUAUCAUUGAGUCAGGUAACGGAGUUUACAAUGCUCCCGCUUCCGGGCCUCGUAUUUGCUUACCUGUACAAAUAGUUGGCCAUCAUCUCUUUGUUCUCUCGACAAAAAAAAAACUCUUUAUCCUUGUUUUACUCAAUCUAUUUGUUUAUCGCAACAUCGAAUCCACAUUUUUUUUUCCCUCCUCUCAACUCUCCUCCUUAUCUGGUGGCUUGUCAGCCACCAACAGCCUGAAUGCUUUUUCCACGUGGCCGUGGGUUUGCGUAAUUUUCCCUCUCGCGUACGGAGGAUGUAUCGCAUGCGACAAAUUAGAUUUUACUGCAAGAUUGUAACUUACAAAUUCCAUUUAUUUUGCCUGUGAAAAGGGUGGAAUAACAAAUUACAAACCCCGAGUGGCCUAAUACGGAGAGAUUCUUGGCGGGGCCACUGUCAAAGCCAAUCAUAGCGUCUGCUACGGGGUUUCCGAACGAAAUUAACUUUCCCCCUAUCUCUCCAUGCCGAGAACACGUGCGGGCCAAGAUAGGUUUCUUAGUGGUGCUUUAGCUGAACUUUGAUGAUGUUUGGUCUUUCAGGCUUUCUUUCCCACUGCCGCGGCUUAAAGUUUACUGGGCAUGUACUACGUCGGUAAAGGCGAAAGUCAAUUGGGGUGAGACCCAAGUCUUGGUAUUCUAUACUUUUUGUGUGUAUGUACAUGUACAUCUUGAUAGCUUCAGUUUUUGCUCUUUUUUCCUCGAUCAGCUGUUCACUGUUCAAGGUGCGCGGAUGUGCGUGGCAAGCGAUGAACGCGCGUUAUGGGGAAAAAGCACGGAGUAUAUAAAAUAUUCGAUAUACGCAACCAAUGGAGCCCCCAUCUUUAUUUUUGAUAUGUCUCGAAAUCUACGUCGACGCCAUGAUGUAUCCAAUACAUGUCUAACGGCCAAGGACACGCGCACGCAGCCUUGUCGAUCAAUCUGCCCAUCCGUUUCCGUCCACCUGUAAGAUCAUUCUGGUGUAGGCAUCAAUCAAAAGACAGAUAGGUGUAAAAGAAAACAAUGAUGUUCUUAUUAUGGUUUGAGAUAGGAGCUCACGUUGAUAAGCAUACAGAGUACGUAAUUGUACAUUUUCUUGGCAGCGAUGAAUAUCCUCCGGAAGUGUUCAUGUAACUAUCGCAUUGUUAGGAUAGUCAGCAAACACGGGAAUGAGUUAGGGUAGUUUGCGCCCUAAACUAAAUAACAGCAUGACGAGUUUCGUUCGUGACGGAGGCAUCUCAGGGUUGGUUGGUAUUGUAGUUAUGAUUUCGUGCGAGUUGGGGUGAAAAUUCAGCUGAUUUUUACAUUGUUUAGGUACAAGAUAAUGAUGAUGAUGAUGAUGUAACUGUUUGUCUUGAGUCAUUUGGAGAUGGGACAAACAGGUACCGCAGAUGAGUAGAUAAGUUGAUAUGAUACAUCUAAGUUAAGCUCAAAACUAGCUAAGCGUUCGACUCAAAACUUCGUACAGAGUAGACUAGAGUCGAGGCUACUGUGUAC
rnacentral:lncRNA from 1 species